rnacentral:ncRNA from 1 species
AUGGCGGAAUCCGAAAAGCCAAAUCUCAAACAGAGUAGGGU